rnacentral:rRNA from 1 species
UUUCCGUAGGKGAACCUGSGGAAGGAUCAUUAUUGAAUAAACUUGAUGGGUUGUUGCUGGCCUCUUGAGGCAUGUGCACACCUGUCUUGACUUUACUCAUCCACCUGUGCACUUGUUGUAGUCCUUUACUCUAUGUCCUUUUGUCAUAUACCAUGUAGUAUGUUGYCAGAAUGUAUUUGGUGGGCCUUUGUGGUCAGCUCCUCUGAAAUACAUUAGUGGAACGGUUUGUGAUCUGCUGCAGGUGUGAUAAUUAAUCUAUGCCGAGUGGGUGACUCUCUGCUGUGUUCUGCUGCCAACUGUCUGUGAAGACAACUAGUUACUGAAUAUUUGACCUCAAAUCAGGUAGGAUUACCCGCUGAACUUAA